UACAGAGGGUGCGAGCGUUGUCCGGAAUCACUGGGCGUAAAGCGUGCGCAGACGGUUGCGUAAGUCAGAUGUGAAAGCCCCGGGCUCAACCUGGGAACUGCCUUUGUGACUGCAUCGCUGGAGUGCGGCAGAGGGGGAUGGAAUUCCGCGUGUAGCAGUGAAAUGCGUAGAUAUGCGGAGGAACACCGAUGGCGAAGGCAAUCCCCUGGGCCUGCACUGACGCUCAUGCACGAAAGCGUGGGGAGCAAAUAGG
rnacentral:rRNA from 1 species